rnacentral:rRNA from 1 species
UACGUAGGGUGCAAGCGUUAAUCGGAAUUACUGGGCGUAAAGCGUGCGCAGGCGGCUUUGCAAGACAGAUGUGAAAUCCCCGGGCUUAACCUGGGAACUGCAUUUGUGACUGCAUGGCUAGAGUUUGGCAGAGGGGGGUAGAAUUCCACGUGUAGCAGUGAAAUGCGUAGAUAUGUGGAGGAACACCGAUGGCGAAGGCAGCCCCCUGGGUCAAGACUGACGCUCAUGCACGAAAGCGUGGGGAGCAAACAGG